rnacentral:lncRNA from 1 species
AGGGACAUUCUCUAUGGACCAAGCAUUCAAAUAUAGUUAGUGAGCACCUUGCAGACACACAGGAUGUACUUCUCCAAGAUGGUGCAAUGGAGCAGAAACAGCUCAUGUCCCUAAUAAGAAGCCACGAGGGACCUCAUUGCUUAUUGAAGAGUCUUGCAGCAUACUUUGUUCGUUGGUCUUUUCUUAAUGGUUGGCUAUUUCUCCUCCAAUUCAAGAACAUUGCAACUAUUAGGUACCAUUCAGAGUCAAUGCGGACCUGAACACACAACUGGCCACGGAGGGAGGCCCUUCAUAAACAGAUCUUGCUGAGUUUAAUCAGAAUCUGCCUCAUGCACAUAGACACAGAUCCUCUUAGAGAUGAAAAGAACAUUAAAAUCUAACAGAACAAAGACCGUGACCACCCCAGACACACAUCCCACAACUCCAAGCUAUGUGUGUCCAGAAGAGAAACAAAACAAAAUUUAUGGCUUUUGCUCUAGUAAUUCCUGGUGAGUCAUAUCCAUAUAUUUCAACACCAGGACACUUCUUCAUUUUCCAGGUGACUCUUUAAAGCUGUUACUACAGAUCUUGAGAUAUCAUUCAUGAUUACCUUAAACCCCUAAGACCCAUUCAUUAACCCAAUGGUAUCAAAUAUUUCAAAUCCAAUCGGGUUCCUCCCUCCUACAAGUUGAUGAAAAUGAAAACACACAGAGUCACCUUAAUAAAAUGAAGAACUGAGUCAACAGAAUUGUUGCAGCAGGUGUGUGUUCUAACUGCACUGCCUGUGCUAUUGAGGUGACUCCAUGAGACAUUCUUCACUAUCCAUGAUAAAGAAUGGCUUUUCUGCAGGGAAUCUAUUAAUUUUUUUCUGUCACUUCCUCCCCUCCACUCCAAGCCACCCACUGAUCUAAGUCAUUCUUGAACACGAUUAUGAGUGUUUUCAUACAUAUGUGAUGCAUUGAGUAACUGAAUGGAUCCCAUCUGGGAGAUAUAUAAAGUGGACACUGAAGUGACUCAUCAGGCAGCUGCAGAGAAUACACAGAUGAGAAUGGCAGGGAACUCCACCAUGAAGAUGCUGAGCAUCAUCCACACCAUUUCCAGAAGAUGGAAAAAGCCACAUGACUGUGGAACACCACAAAAUUGAGGAAGAGUUUGAAGCUCACGGCUGCCAGAGUGAAACCUUGGGCUCUGGUAUUAGCUGCCUUGUACAUGGCUGAUUGGAACACAAAGGAAAAUAAUCUUGUAAGUUGUUGAUGAAAACAAGACUACUUGAAAUUUUAAUAUGAAAAACAUCCUUCAUUGUCUGGCCUAUCAAAUAUUUAAUGGUUCUAAACUUCAAGUUAUUCUGAGAACAAGAUAGGAUAAUAAUGUAUAAGUCACAAAAUUAAAAUUGUCAAGUGGGUGAUGUAUGAUGAAGUGUAUAAGCACAUGCACAGAAAAAAAUUAUACAACUUAAUUGACAUUAAUAAAUAAAUGAGGAGUUCCAGAAGAGUCUUUGUUGGCCUGUGACUAUGUUAGUCAACCUGAAAUCAAUCAAAAGGGCAACUGGACAUUCCAAUCUCUGGUGGGGGUUAGGGGCUUGUUAAUAGCAAGCAGCUAGCAGUAGACACAGGGAAGAACACACACAUACGUUAACCCAAGCCAAAAAUAAAAUCAUCAAAAAACAACCUGAAGCAAUUUCGAAAAUAAAGAUAAUAGUAAUGAUGUCAGAAACAGCAGACUGUGAUUAGGGAACCAGGGCGCCUUCAUGACUUGAUCAUUUUGGGACCCUUCUUUCUUCAGAACCUUUGAUGCAUCUUCCUCCUAUAUCACUUCCUGUUCUCAGUCCAUUCUGUUCACACUUCCUAUGUCACUUCCUAUUCUGGGUCCUCUGUGUAUACUCACUCUGUCUUAGUACUUCACAUCCCUUAUCCUCCAUCCAAUCAAAAAUGCUUCUCAGAAGUGCCCAUUCUACAUCUCUUAAGCAUACAUGUUGUCUAGUCUUGAAGCUCUGCACGGCAAGAUGUCAUUUUACACUUUCCUGCUUAGCUCUCAAUACUAACCCUCCUAAAACUUCAAUGACAGGGUACAGAGUGAGCUGUAUGCAGCCAUGCAGGUACCAAGUGUUCCCUGAAUGUUGUUAACCUCAUUCUUCUUCUAAUGUUCUUGUUUAAUGUGUCUGCUUUCCUGUGCACAUUUGGUUCAAUUCCCUGUUAACUUUAGAAAUCUUGGGUUCAAUAUUUUCACGCUUUCUAUAGAAGGCCUGUUUCAGCUAACAAAAUGCCUCCACUUGCUUUCUCUGUCUCUAAAUAUCAAGCAUCAGUCAUGUGCUACACAAGUACCACAUCACAGAAGACUCUGGAGUAUUGGAUGGAGGAUCUAAGGCAGUGGUUCUCAACCUUCCUAAUGCUUCAACCCUUUAAUAGAGUCCCUCAUGUUGUGGUGACCCCCAGCCAUAAUGUUAUCUUCAUUGCUACAUUGUAACUGUAAAUGUUCUACUGUUAUGAAUCAUAAUGUAAUCUGUUUACUCACGGUCUUAGGAAACCUCUGUGAAAGGGUCAUGCGACCUUUCAAGGGAUAGUGACCCUAAGGUUGAGAGCCACUGAUCUAGAAGCUGUGUGAUGGAUUCAGGUCAACUUUCAGCUUUGAAGGUAAUGCAUUGUUAUGUGACACUCUUUCUGGACAGAAGGGAGCAAGCACCUGUGUACCCAAGAUGGGAAACUCAAUACAAGCAGAAGUAAGAGUUCCAUCCAAGCCCAAUUUAUUGAACUAACAGGUGUAUUAGGAUUUCUUACCAUAACAUGAGUGAAGGGUUGCUUAUAGUAGCAGAAAUUACCCAAAGUCAGCUGCAUCAACAAAGCACACUCCAGCAUGGGUGACAGCUUACAAAGCUGGGAACCUGGAGCACAUUGUUUAGGUGCAGGCAGCUCAACGGGUCAAUGGGUGUCCUUUCCAGGCAGCUCAGUUGAUCUGAGAGGGUCUUCACUAGUCCUAAAUAUUUAUAUACACUUAGGAACGGAGAAGCCUGCCUUUGAGUUGUUGAUUUUCUGCGCUCAGUGGGCUUACCUGCUGGCUGGACUGUUUCACCUCCCUUUAGGGCACCCUGUGUCUUAAGGAGGUUUUAUUGCAGACGACAUUACUACACAGCACAGCUUGUGCUUCAGUUAGGGCACUUGAAACAGGAAGGUAGGGAUUGUGGAUCCCUUUGGACACAUUGCUGAUUUCAAGUACAAUACCUUCACCCCAGCAACAGACUUUUGAGACACAAAGAGUAAUUUAAAACCAACACACAAGGUUAUCAUUAAAAUCUCUACCACACUAUUAUACUGUCACUUGACAAAACUGGAAACAAUUGUUUGUUUUGCAAUGAUUUAUUACAGAAA